CGGACGGGUGAGUAACACGUGGAUAACCUACCUAUAAUACUGGGAUAACUUCGGGAAACCGGAGCUAAUACCGGAUAAUAUAUUGAACCGCAUGGUUCAAUAGUGAAAGACGGUUUUGCUGUCACUUAUAGAUGGAUCCGCGCUGCAUUAGCUAGUUGGUAAGGUAACGGCUUACCAAGGCAACGAUGCGUAGCCGACCUGAGAGGGUGAUCGGCCACACUGGAACUGANACACGGUCCAGACUCCUACGGGAGGCAGCAGGC
rnacentral:rRNA from 1 species